AGAGUUUGAUCCUGGCUCAGAUUGAACGCUGGCGGCAGGCCUAACACAUGCAAGUCGAGCGGUAGAGAGAAGCUUGCUUCUCUUGAGAGCGGCGGACGGGUGAGUAAUGCCUAGGAAUCUGCCUGGUAGUGGGGGAUAACGUUCGGAAACGGACGCUAAUACCGCAUACGUCCUACGGGAGAAAGCAGGGGACCUUCGGGCCUUGCGCUAUCAGAUGAGCCUAGGUCGGAUUAGCUAGUUGGUGGGGUAAUGGCUCACCAAGGCGACGAUCCGUAACUGGUCUGAGAGGACGACCAGCCACACUGGAACUGAGACACGGUCCAGACUCCUACGGGAGGCAGCAGUGGGGAAUUUUGGACAAUGGGCGAAAGCCUGAUCCAGCAAUGCCGCGUGAGUGAAGAAGGCCUUCGGGUUGUAAAGCUCUUUUGUCAGGGAAGAAACGGUGAGGGCUAAUAUCCCUCGCUAAUGACGGUACCUGAAGAAUAAGCACCGGCUAACUACGUGCCAGCAGCCGCGGUAAUACGUAGGGUGCAAGCGUUAAUCGGAAUUACUGGGCGUAAAGCGUGCGCAGGCGGUUUUGUAAGUCUGACGUGAAAUCCCCGGGCUCAACCUGGGAAUUGCGUUGGAGACUGCAAGGCUAGAAUCUGGCAGAGGGGGGUAGAAUUCCACGUGUAGCAGUGAAAUGCGUAGAGAUGUGGAGGAACACCGAUGGCGAAGGCAGCCCCCUGGGUCAAGACUGACGCUCAUGCACGAAAGCGUGGGGAGCAAACAGGAUUAGAUACCCUGGUAGUCCACGCCCUAAACGAUGUCUACUAGUUGUCGGGUCUUAAUUGACUUGGUAACGCAGCUAACGCGUGAAGUAGACCGCCUGGGGAGUACGGUCGCAAGAUUAAAACUCAAAGGAAUUGACGGGGACCCGCACAAGCGGUGGAUGAUGUGGAUUAAUUCGAUGCAACGCGAAAAACCUUACCUACCCUUGACAUGGCAGGAAUCCCGGAGAGAUCUGGGAGUGCUCGAAAGAGAACCUGCACACAGGUGCUGCAUGGCUGUCGUCAGCUCGUGUCGUGAGAUGUUGGGUUAAGUCCCGCAACGAGCGCAACCCUUGUCAUUAGUUGCUACGAAAGAGCACUCUAAUGAGACUGCCGGUGACAAACCGGAGGAAGGUGGGGAUGACGUCAAGUCCUCAUGGCCCUUAUGGGUAGGGCUUCACACGUCAUACAAUGGUACAUACAGAGGGCCGCCAACCCGCGAGGGGGAGCUAAUCGCAGAAAGUGUAUCGUAGUCCGGAUUGUAGUCUGCAACUCGACUGCAUGAAGUUGGAAUCGCUAGUAAUCGCGGAUCAGCAUGUCGCGGUGAAUACGUUCCCGGGUCUUGUACACACCGCCCGUCACACCAUGGGAGCGGGUUGCACCAGAAGUAGCUAGUCUAACCUUCGGGAGGACGGUUACCACGGUGUGAUUCAUGACUGGGGUGAAGUCGUAACAAGGUAGCCGUAGGGGAACCUGCGGUUGGAUCACCUCCUU
rnacentral:rRNA from 1 species